rnacentral:ncRNA from 1 species
UAUAAACUGCCACCGGGUAGUAUAUGCGCAGAGCAUUCAAUGCACAUCGUCAGGUCUUAGAAGAUGUGUGUUGGAUGCUUUUUUCGGA